rnacentral:rRNA from 1 species
UACGUAGGUGGCAAGCGUUGUCCGGAAUUACUGGGCGUAAAGCGCACGCAGGCGGUCUUGUAAGUUUGACGUGAAAGCUGCCGGCUUAACUGGGAGAGGUCGUUGAAGACUGCAAGACUUGAGGAAAUGAGAGGGGUGUAGAAUUCCCGGUGUAGUGGUGGAAUGCGUAGAUAUCGGGGGGAAUACCAGUGGCGAAAGCGGCACCCUAGCAUUUUUCUGACGCUCAUGUGCGAAAGCGUGGGGAGCGAACGGG